GCUGGGCGCAGUGGCUCACGCCUGUAAUCCCAGCAGUUUGGGAGGCCAAGGUGGGUGGAUCACCUGAGGUUAGGAGUUCGAGACCAGCCUGGCCAACAUGGUGAAACCCUGUCUCUAUUAAAAAUACAAAAAAUUAGCCAGGCAUAGUGGCGGCACCUGUAAUCCCAACUACUUGGGAGGCUGAGGCAGGAGAAUCAUGUUGGCCAGGCUGGUCUCGAACUCCUGACCUCAGGUGAUCCACCCACCUC
rfam:Pan troglodytes isolate Yerkes chimp pedigree #C0471 (Clint) chromosome 11, whole genome shotgun sequence.